AGCGCAGGUGGUGAUUUAAGUCUGAUGUGAAAGCCCACGGCUCAACCGUGGAAGGUCAUUGGAAACUGGAUCACUUGAGUGCAGAAGAGGAAAGUGGAAUUCCAUGUGUAGCGGUGAAAUGCCGUAGAUAUAUGGAGGAACACCAGUGGCGAAGGCGACUUUCUGGUCUGUAACUGACACUGAGGCUCGAAAGCGUGGGGAGCAAACA
rnacentral:rRNA from 1 species